UACGUAGGGUGCGAGCGUUGUCCGGAAUUAUUGGGCGUAAAGGGCUCGUAGGCGGUCUGUUGCGUCGGGAGUGAAAACUCAGGGCUUAACCCUGAGCCUGCUUCCGAUACGGGCAGACUAGAGGUAUGCAGGGGAGAACGGAAUUCCUGGUGUAGCGGUGAAAUGCGCAGAUAUCAGGAGGAACACCGGUGGCGAAGGCGGUUCUCUGGGCAUUACCUGACGCUGAGGAGCGAAAGUGUGGGUAGCGAACAGG
rnacentral:rRNA from 1 species